CCCUUGUCCUUAGUUGCCACCAUUCAGUUGGGCACUCUAAGGAGACUGCCGGUGUUAAACCGGAGGAAGGUGGGGAUGACGUCAAGUCCUCAUGGCCCUUAUAUCCAGGGCUACACACGUGCUACAAUGGCCGGUACAAAGGGUCGCAAUACCGCAAGGUGGAGCUAAUCCCAAAAAGCCGGUCUCAGUUCGGAUUGGAGUCUGCAACUCGACUCCAUGAAGUCGGAAUCGCUAGUAAUCGCGUAUCAGCAUGACGCGGUGAAUACGUUCCCGGGCCUU
rnacentral:rRNA from 1 species